UACGUAGGGGGCUAGCGUUGUCCGGAUUUAUUGGGCGUAAAGAGCGUGUAGGCGGCCAGAUAGGUCUGCUGUGAAAACUCGAGGCUCAACCUCGGGCUGUCGGCGGAAACCAUUUGGCUAGAGUCCGGAAGAGGAGAGUGGAAUUCCUGGUGUAGCGGUGAAAUGCGCAGAUAUCAGGAAGAACACCUAUGGCGAAGGCAGCUCUCUGGGACGGUACUGACGCUGAGACGCGAAAGCGUGGGGAGCGAACAGG
rnacentral:rRNA from 1 species